AGUGAACGCUGGCGGUAGGCCUAACACAUGCAAGUCGAACGGCAGCACAGUAAGAGCUUGCUCUUACGGGUGGCGAGUGGCGGACGGGUGAGGAAUACAUCGGAAUCUACUUUUUCGUGGGGGAUAACGUAGGGAAACUUACGCUAAUACCGCAUACGACCUACGGGUGAAAGCAGGGGAUCUUCGGACCUUGCGCGAUUGAAUGAGCCGAUGUCGGAUUAGCUAGUUGGCGGGGUAAAGGCCCACCAAGGCGACGAUCCGUAGCUGGUCUGAGAGGAUGAUCGGCGACACUGGAACUGAGACACGGUCCAGACUCCUACGGGAGGCAGCAGUCGGGAAUAUUGGGCAAUGGGCGCAAGCCUGAUCCAGCCAUACCGCGUGGGUGAAGAAGGCCUUCGGGUUGUAAAGCCCUUUUGUUGGGAAAGAAAAGCAGCAGGUUAAUACCCCGCUGUUCUGACGGUACCCAAAGAAUAAGCACCGGCUAACUUCGUG
rnacentral:rRNA from 1 species